rnacentral:sRNA from 1 species
UCAACACGGCCGCAUGAAUCUCUUCCUCC